rnacentral:lncRNA from 1 species
GCAUAGGAGAAUAAAGGAUGGAACAAAGAAGAAAAAGAACAGCAAGUUACUCUGAGUAUUGUGGAAACAAACUGAAAUUAGAGUGAGAGAGAGAGAGAAAAAAAAAGAAGGUCCGAGCAAUCUCAGAUAUAUGAGAGGCCAAGAUGGGAAGAUCACUUGGGUAAGACUGGGAAGAUUGAGUCUGCAGUGAGUCACAGUCGCAUCAUUCUGCUGGAUUUGAAUGGUACUGCUUCUGGCCCAAGUUGUCUGGGCAACCUUAGACAUGGGUGUCCAUCGCGCUUCCUUCACUGCCUUGAUCAUGUCGGGGUCACCACCUGCGGGGGUUUGUCCUGCAGACCCUGACUCAACGACGGAUGAAUAAUGUACACUGACACAGAUCUUAUGCUUGUCAGUCCUGCUGAGCAUCCAGGCCACUUACAGACUCCAAGAAGAGUCCUGUCAGCCACGGCUCUGACUUGUUGGCCCUCCCGGCAUUUAUUUAGCACACAUUUAAUGACAGAAGUCUCAGGCUGGAAACACUCUUUUUGUAGAACAUACAAAUGGACAUUUCUAAGCACAUUGAGGCCUAUAAUGAAAAAUCAAAUAUCCCACAAUGAAAACUAGAAGGAAGCUAUCUGUGAUAAUGCUUUGUGGUGUAUGGAUUCAUCUCACUGACUGAAACCUGAGUUUUGAUUCACCAGGUUAAAAACACUAUUUUUGUAGACUCUACGAAGAAACAUUUCUGAAACCAUUGAAACCUAUGGGGGAAAAAAACCCCCGAAAUUCCUGUGAUAAGAAAUGGAAAGCAGCUAUCUGUGAAAAUGCUUUGUAAUGUGUGGAUUCUUCUCACAGAGUUAAACCUUUGUUCUGAUUCAACAUUGUUCAGAACACUCUUUUUGUAGAAUCUACAGAGAUACUUUUUAGCAUUUUGAGGCCUCUAGUGAAAAACCGAAUGUCCUGCAAUAGAAACUGGAAACAACCUUCUGUGAAAAUGCUUUGUGAUUCGUCUAUUCAUCUCAAAGAAUGAAACUUGUGCUUUGAUUCAACAGGUUGGAAAACCCUUUUUGUAGAAUCUACGUAGGAACAUUUCUGAGCCCAUUGAGGCCUCUAGUGAAAAAACUGAAUAUCCCAGAAUUAAAACUAUAAACAAGCUAUCUGUGAAGAAGCUUUGUAAUAUGUGCAUUCAUCUAACAGAUAUAAGCGUGUAUUUUGAUUUGCCUGGUUGGGAACACUCUUUUUGUACAGUCUAUAAAGAAACAUUUCUGAGUGCAUUGAGUCAUAUGUUGAAAAAUCGAAUAUCUCGUGAUAAAAACUAGGCAGGAGGUAUCUGUGAAAAUGCUUUGAGAUGUGUGGGUAUUGGCCUCACAGAGUUAAACUUUUGUUUUGAUUCAACAGUUUGGAAACAUACUUUGUAGAAUCUACAAUGACAUAUUUCUGAGCCCAUUGAGGCCUGUAGUGAAAAACCGAAUAUCCCAUGAUAAAAACUCAAAACAAGCGAUAUGUGAAAAUGCUUUGUGACGUGUGGUUCAUCUCAUAGAGUUAAACCUGGUUUUGAUCCACUACAUUGGAAAC